UACGUAGGGACCAAGCGUUGUUCGGAUUUACUGGGCGUAAAGGGCGCGUAGGCGGCGUGACAAGUCACUUGUGAAAUCUCCGGGCUUAACUCGGAACGGCCAAGUGAUACUGUCGUGCUAGAGUGCAGAAGGGGCAAUCGGAAUUCUUGGUGUAGCGGUGAAAUGCGUAGAUAUCAAGAGGAACACCUGAGGUGAAGACGGGUUGCUGGGCUGACACUGACGCUGACAGCGCGAAAGCUAGGGGAGCAAACGGG
rnacentral:rRNA from 1 species